rnacentral:rRNA from 1 species
AGAAUCAACGCUGGCGGCGUGCCUAACACAUGCAAGUCGAACGAGAAAGGGGUUUCGGCCCUGAGUAUAGUGGCGUACGGGUGAGUAACACGUGAAUCAUCUACCUCCGAGUGGGGAAUAACCAAGAGAAAUCUUGGCUAAUACCGCAUAACACUUACGAGUCAAAGCAGCAAUGCGCUUGGAGAGGAGUUCGCGGCAGAUUAGUUAGUUGGCGGGGUAAUGGCCCACCAAGACGAUGAUCUGUA